AUGACCCACGGGGGGAAAACACAGCUGGAGAAAAGCAAGACGACAGAGAGAUAAGAGAGGGAAGAAAUGUGAAGGGACAAAGGUGAAGCUCUCUAUACAACAGAAUGUAAACAUGCAGGGCUUGCCAGAGGGCCAGGCUGUGCCCAUAGAACUGGCAGUGGGAAAAAACAGACAAGAGCAGUCGUUGGUGUGGAAGAGGGAAAGUUUUUCCAAAGUGAACCAACAAGUCUUUUCAGUAUGAUGCUCUGUUGGGAGAGAUCUCAGCUUGAGUCUACAGCUCCAUGUUGUUGGCAUGUCAGAGGCCAGUCAGAGCAAGAGACCACAUUUUGCACAAGAUGAUGCCUCAAGCCUUUCUUAGCUCAUUAAACCAAAUAAUAUGAAAGAAGCUGCAAGAGAAACAGCUACUCAAUGGGACAGGUACAACUGAGCACCUUGAGCUAGCCUGCAUAGCCUAGCUUUAGCCAGAGUCCCGAGAAGAGACUCAACGUUCCCUACUCCAGGCAUGUAACAAAAGCUAUUUUCCUGGAAUUACUCCUCACCCAACCUUUCUCCCACACACCCCUGUUUGAGUCUCAGCUCUCCAGUUCACACGGGAGGGAUGCAAAUAAUUAAGCUGAUAUGGCUGGCUCAGCUUUGCAGUUUCAGUGCCCACGGCUGGCAAAUAUCACCUCUUUUGUAUCAGAUAUCUCUGUUGCCAAACUGCAAUCAGCUUCACAGGCACAGCUAUGUAGAGGGCACUGCUGUGCAGGCGGAGGUGAGCCACAAGGCAGGAAGCACAUUAAAGUGGAGAUCUCAGUUCUAGGAAAAAAAGUACUCUGAAAGUCACGGAAGCGAAAGUGCUGUGGUUCUGACAGUGACAGUGUCCCCUCCUUCCGUUUGACACAGUCUCAAGGCCUAAAAUGACAACGUCCCACAUAGUAAACAGCAAAGGGAUGCUCAUUUGGUUGGCUCCUCUCGACCUUACCUUGAGAGAAGUGUUUAAUAUUGGAAGGAAAAAAAUAAAUAAUUUAAUAAUUUUCCCCUUGCAGAUGACCUGAUCUCUUCUAGAUAAGGGCAAAGCCCAUGAAGAUGUUUUGCAGUCACAGCAGAGGAUGUGAUGGAGUAAUCUCUUUCUGAAACAUGAUCUGCACUGCAGGAUUGCAGCUGCUUUCAGGCUCUUCAGCUGUAUUUAAGAGGGUCCUCAAUUACCAGGUGAAAAGCCUGGUUGUUGUUUUCCCCACCCCCCAAUCCCCCCCGACUAGGAAAAUGUAAUACUUGCAAGUUUUUGGGGAAAAAAAUUACUAGCUGCCUAAAGAAUUAGUUCAGGGACUGAGAGGGAAAAAAAGCAGCACUGAAGGCCAGACAUUUGCAGUCUGGGUCAGAAGUAGUUUGGGGACAAGGCUGAACAAAUUGCUAAUGCUUGCUCAUUGCCUGUCAGCCUGAUCUCUAGCCAGUAUCCUGGAAAAGAAAACCUCUCAGGUUUAUUUUGGGAGAAGGUUACUUUCCAAUGGGACAAGUGUUAGGAUGUGUCAAGAUUAUGACACAUCAGCCCUCGUAUUUUCUUUCUGCCACUACUGAUGCGCUUGGGAAAUCAGAGUAAAAGUAGCUGCUGCUUUCUCUCCUUUGACUCUUUCACCACCAGCAACUAUAACAUGAACUACCAUCACGCAACAACUCAGCUACACAACACGAACUGGGCUAUACAACAAACAGAGAAGAGUGUGAAAUGACCACAGGCAGCUAAAAUUCAUUUGGGAUGGGCUGGAGUGAAUCACUCAUUAUCUCCACAGCAGCUGUCCUCUCUCUAUAUAGAGCUGCUCUCACUCAAAUAUUGUAUUUAACAAACAGUGAUACUGGCAGGUAACCAUCACAGCUCUGGUAGAAGACAGGUCCAGGGAGAAAGAGGGUUUGGCACAUCUGGAUUGUAACCAGAAAGGAUGCAGUAUGAACUGCAAAAUCUGGUCAUAUUUCUUUUAGCAGCCAGUAGUCCCUUCAUGUGAAAAAUUAUAGCCCAAGUAGUGACACAAGAGAAGAGAGUGAGGAAAUGUGACCAGUGGAUGAAGGACAUCUUGUUUCAUUAGCAGAGCUGCUCAAAACUCCUGGGCAAGCAUGUGGAGUUAGCAGGCUAGCAGGGGGAGAGGGGGCAAGAUGCUGCUACCAGUGUCAGUGGCACAGGCACAGGAAACUAAACAAAGCCACUGAGGAUUCCUGAGGAUAUUUUCUCUUUUUUUUUUUAGGUUUUGGGUUGUUGGUUGUUUUGUUUUCCCCCAAGAAUUAAAUAAAAGGCUUGAAGUCCUGAACAGAUUACAUUCAAUUACUCCUCAAUAUCAGAUAAAGUCGUUUGUCAGUUCUAGAGGUGAUUCAGAGCUGCAAGCAAAGCUCCUAGAAGACAUUCUCCAGACUCUGCUACCUGCAUCACUUCGAGCUGCACAGGACAGCAGGUCACACUCUUUCUAACAAUACCAACCGUUUAAAAACGUACAUUGCCUGAGCUCAGACACUGGAAACAUUGUUCAUUUCUAAUGGCUUUGUGCACGAACAACACGAGGACUAACGACAGACUAGGCAGUGCAAACAGUUCUCCCUGACGCUUCAGCUCUAAAGGACUCAAGUGUGGAUAAGGCUGUUAUGUAAGACAGGCUUUUGGAUAUCACUGAAGUGCUUUACAGUUAAGAUGGAACAUUAAUAAAAGAUUUAAACUGAAAACCUCCAGCUAUUAGAAGGAUUAGGACUUUGCAGUGGGCUUGGGGAAUACAUGCAAUGUCAAAGCCAUCUUUUUGGCUGUGAUCAAAGGCAGAGAAGGUUCUGGCAGAAAGAGCAUCUCGGGGGGAGGGGAAUAAAUUUGGAGUGUCACAUAGCGAUAACAAUAAAUUCUACCAACAGCAGCAACAACUCGUGCAGAGACUGCGGUCCGCAGCGGCAGAAGACAAGAAAGCAGGGGUGCAGCACGGCGCCUGCCUGGCAGCAGCCUGCCCUCUGGCAGCAGCUGUCCCCGCGAGAGGGGAGAAGCAUCUGCUCGCCCACCGCCCGCGCCCGGGCCAGCUUUCCUGCCAAGGGCUGGAGAACAGAGCUCACGCUCCGUGCCUUUGUCACUCAGUGGCGACCUCAGCUCCUUACGGCUGAGCACUGGCCAAGAGGAAUUAGCAGGAAGGCUCACGGGGUUUAUUAGAUUUAUUUCCUGGUGAUUGAUUCUUCUGUUCCAAAGCG